GAGAGGAGCUUGCUCUUCUUGGAUGAGUUGCGAACGGGUGAGUAACGCGUAGGUAACCUGCCUUGUAGCGGGGGAUAACUAUUGGAAAUGAUAGCUAAUACCGCAUAACAAUGGGUGACACAUGUCAUUUAUUUGAAAGGGGCAAUUGCUCCACUACAAGAUGGACCUGCGUUGUAUUAGCUAGUAGGUGAGGUAACGGCUCACCUAGGCGACGAUACAUAGCCGACCUGAGAGGGUGAUCGGCCACACUGGGACUGAGACACGGCCCAGACUCCUACGGGAGGCAGCAGUAGGGAAUCUUCGGCAAUGGGGGCAACCCUGACCGAGCAACGCCGCGUGAGUGAAGAAGGUUUUCGGAUCGUAAAGCUCUGUUGUAAGUCAAGAACGAGUGCGAGAGUGGAAAGUUCACACUGUGACGGUAGCUUACCAGAAAGGGACGGCUAACUACGUGCCAGCAGCCGCGGUAAUACGUAGGUCCCGAGCGUUGUCCGGAUUUAUUGGGCGUAAAGCGAGCGCAGGCGGUUUGAUAAGUCUGAAGUUAAAGGCUGUGGCUCAACCAUAGUUCGCUUUGGAAACUGUCAAACUUGAGUGCAGAAGGGGAGAGUGGAAUUCCAUGUGUAGCGGUGAAAUGCGUAGAUAUAUGGAGGAACACCGGUGGCGAAAGCGGCUCUCUGGUCUGUAACUGACGCUGAGGCUCGAAAGCGUGGGGAGCGAACAGGAUUAGAUACCCUGGUAGUCCACGCCGUAAACGAUGAGUGCUAGGUGUUGGAUCCUUUCCGGGAUUCAGUGCCGCAGCUAACGCAUUAAGCACU
rnacentral:rRNA from 1 species